rnacentral:rRNA from 1 species
UACGUGAGGUGCGAGCGUUAAUCGGAAUACUGGGCGUAAAGCGUGCGCAGGCGGUUCGUGAUGUCUGAUGUGAAAGCCCCGGGCUCAACCUGGGAAUUGCAUUGGAAACUAGCGGGCUGGAGUGUGGCAGAGGGGGGUGGAAUUCCACGUGUAGCAGUGAAAUGCGUAGAGAUGUGGAGGAACACCGAUGGCGAAGGCAGCCCCCUGGGCUAACACUGACGCUCAUGCACGAAAGCGUGGGGAGCAAACAGG